GACGAACGCUGGCGGCGUGCCUAAUACAUGCAAGUAGAACGCAGUUGCGAACGGGUGAGUAACGCGUAGGUAACUGCCCCAAAGAGGGGGAUAACUAUUGGAAACGAUAGCUAAUACCGACUACUGUGAGAUGGAACUGCGUUGUAUUUGCUAGGUGGGGAGGUAAAGGCUCACCAAGGCGAAGAUACAUACCCGACCUGAGAGGGGGGACGGCACCACUGGGACUGGGACACGGCCCAAGAUCCUAAGGGGAGGAGCCGUAGGGAAACUUCCGCAAAGGGCGGAAGUCUGAACGGGCAACGCCGGGUGAAGUGAGAAGGUUUUCGGAUUGUAAAACUCUUUUGUUAGAGAAGCGUUAACUAACCAGAAAGGGACGGCUAACUACGUGCCAGCAGCCGCGGUAAUAC
rnacentral:rRNA from 1 species